UACAGAGGGUGCGAGCGUUAAUCGGAAUUACUGGGCGUAAAGCGCACGUGGUCGGCUUUGCAAGUCGGUUGUGAAAUCCCCGGGCUCAACCUGGGAACUGCAUCCGAGACUGCAUUGCUAGAGUAUGGGAGAGGAAAGCGGAAUUUCUGGUGUAGCAGUGAAAUGCGUAGAUAUCAGAAGGAACAUCAGUGGCGAAGGUGGCUUUCUGGACCAAUACUGACGAUCAGGUGCGAAAGCGUGGGGAGCAAACAGG
rnacentral:rRNA from 1 species